ACAACUUUCGUUUUGAAAAUCUUUAUCCUCUUUACAGAACUAGUAGAAUACAUCUCCAUGGCCAUAUCGUCGGAUCACUAUUCCUUAGUCUGUGCUAUUGACUUUGGGACUACCUUCUCUGGUAUUGCUUACUCAUUAAAACGUGAGUAUCGGGACGAUCCAAUGAGAAUCACCGUAUAUGACUGGAGUGCCCCGUCAUCUGUACAGAUUUCUUACAAGACCCCAACAACCAUUCUUCUGGACAGCAAGAGAAAAUUUGUGGCAUUUGGAUAUGAAGCCGAGUCUAAAUAUGCCGAGUUCGCAGAAGACGAAGAACAUGAUGAUUAUUUCUACUGUCGACGAUUCAAAAUGUUGUUGUACGAUACGCUAAGAAAAGGAGUAGAGAGACUAACAAUGAACACAAAGAUCAAAGACAUAACAGAGAAAAAAGAAAUGUUGGCCAUCGACAUAUUCAGUCUCUCGAUCAAGUACUUCCGAGAUCUGAUGGUAUACACGGUGGAUAAGAAAGGUAUAGGAGUGAAAACCACGGACAUCAGGUGGGUGCUGACCGUUCCUGCCAUGUGGUCAGAUCCAGCCAAGCAGUUCAUGACUGAAGCAGCACAGAAGGCUGGAAUUUCAAGAGACAAGCUCAUGUUGGCUUUGGAGCCCGAAGCAGCUUCCAUAUACUGUAGCCGACUACCACUAGCCAAACUGGAAGGGGCAGGUGUUCUGGGUGUUUUUGAAGCAGGCAAAAAAUACUUGGUCCUUGAUGCAGGAGGUGGGACUGUAGAUAUCACUGUACACGAAGUCACAAAAGACAACAAUUUGAAGGAGCUGGAGAAGGCAAGCGGCGGGGACUGGGGAGGAACCUCUGUGGACAACGACUACAAAAAGAAACUGAUGGAGGUUGUUGGUGACGAUUUCAUGGAAGACUUUCGUUUAAAGUAUACCGGGGAAUAUAUUGAACUUUUCCGAGACUUUGAAAUGAAAAAGAGGACGCCAUUAUCUGAAAAUCAAACGAUGGUCACAAUGAGAAUGCCAGGAAUGCUCUCUGGAUUCUAUGAGGAACGGAAAGAUCGGAAAUUAAGGGAAGCAAUUAAGAAUUCUAUAUAUAACAAAAGCAUGAGGUGGGAGGGAGACAAACUGCGAAUUACACCAGCGUUCUUUAAAAAUUUCUUUUCUUUAGCAUGCGUUGGCAUUGUUGACCACGUUAGGGAUCUGUUGUUAGAAAAACUAAAAUAUCAUAAAAUAGAUACAAUAUUAAUGGUUGGUGGAUUUUCCGAGUCCCCGAUUCUACAAAAGCGUAUCCGGGAAGAAUUUCCCCUUCCCCACCACAGAGUUGUAGUGCCCAAUGAAGCUGGACUGGCCGUUCUAAAGGGUGCAGUAUUGUUCGGACACAACCCUAAUAUAAUUUCAGAGAGGGUGGCAAAAUAUUCAUAUGGUAUUGCGUCAUUUGAAAAAUUUGAUCACACAAUUCAUAAAAAAGAAAAGAAAGACAACAAAUAUUGCAAGGAUGUAUUUGAUGUUCACGUAAGAAAAGGUUCCAGAUUAGUGUUUAACGACGAAAUAAAGUCUAAAAAAGAGUAUGAACCUAAUCGUGACGACCAAAUGGUAAUGGACUUUGACGUAUAUUUGUCAGAAGAAGAAGAUUUCCCCAAAUACGUGACGGAUCCAGGGUGUCAGUACCUGGGAACAUUGAGUGUUGACCUUCCUAAACCCGUGAAAGGAAAGAAAAGAGGUGUCUUUAUCUGCAUGAUUUUUGGAGGCACAGAACUUUGCGUUAAAGCAGUUAAUAGAAGUAACAAUGCAGAGACAUCAGCUACAUUUAAUUUCCUCGGAAAUCAACCAUAGUAAAAAAAUGAUUCUAAUAUCCUU
rnacentral:misc_RNA from 1 species